rnacentral:rRNA from 1 species
CCUACGGGAGGCAGCAGUGGGGAAUCUUGCGCAAUGGGGGAAACCCUGACGCAGCGACGCCGCGUGGAGGAUGAAGGCCUUCGGGUUGUAAACUCCUGUCAGAGGGGACGAAAUCCCGCAAGGGACUGACGGUACCCUCAGAGGAAGCCCCGGCUAACUACGUGCCAGCAGCCGCGGUAAUACGUAGGGGGCAAGCGUUACUCGGAAUUACUGGGCGUAAAGGGUGAGUAGGCGGCUGGGCAAGUCAAGGAUGAAAUCCCGAGGCUCAACUUCGGAACUGUCCUUGAAACUGCUCAGCUUGAGGGUAGUUGAGGAGAGCGGAAUUCCCGGUGGAGCGGUGAAAUGCGUAGAUAUCGGGAGGAACACCAGAGGCGAAAGGCGGCUCUCUAAGCUACUCCUGACGCUGAAUCACGAAAGCUAGGGGAGCAAACG